UCUUCACUUCUGCGAUCUGUGAAAAUCAACUCUGCCGGAACAGGAACCAAUUCCUCCGAGACCACCAGAAGCUCUCCUUCUGAGUCCUUGUGGCGUCCCUCAAAAAUGCUAUUCUGGUUUCUAACAACUACUUCGACGUUCAUUUAAAAGGUGACCAUUCUCCUCAUUAGCAUAUUUUUCGCUUGGUCCUAGAAUAUCCUCGCUUGCUUGCAGCAAUCUACUGCCAUCUUCUUCAGAAAGGUUAGCAUUGACUUGAUCCAGUUCAUGUUGUUCGGACUUUAAAUCUGAAGAUCGUCGAGGUUCUGGAUCAUUUGGCGUAGGUAGAGUGUUAGAAGUUGUAUUCCUAAUCUACUCUGUUGCAGUUUGUAGCAAACAAACGCAUGGGUCUUAUGUUGGGUUUCAGUAUGUUUAUAUGUGUACUAUGCAUCCUACUAGUACUAAAUAAAAAUGUGAGGAAGCAAUGAAAAA